rnacentral:snRNA from 14 species
UUACUUACCUGGCAGGGGAGAUCCCCUUCUUCUCAGCCUUGAAUGACUUGAUGUUGACCUGUCCCUUGCACUGCGGGCAGGCUGACCCCUGCCAGAGUCUAUAAUGCCUCCAACACGAGGAUCUCGGCUACACCAUUUAUGGUGAUGGAGGAUUGCUCUUGGGCUUUCCCUCU